CUAUUAGCAACACUUGUAAGUGGUAUGAUACUAGCAGCAGUGUGUUGGCAGACGUUUAACUGUCUCUCCAGCAAAAUAAGGCCCUCAUUUGUAGUGUCUGCAGGUCUGUGAUCUAAACACUCUACCAUGGCCAAUGCCAAGCUCCAACUGUGACAUUUCAAGCUACCCAUGUGACAUCACUGAAUAUGAAUUAGGGAAGAGACGUGCAGUAUCACAGCAGAGAACACUGCCGCUAUGCAGAUACAGUAUAUACAUAUAUAAAUGACGCAAGAGCACAGAGGUAGUAAAAUAACUGGGAAGCAGUAAGUCCAGAUCUUGUUUGGAGGUUCUAGCAGGGGAGCACAGCUACUCGUAUACCCUUGACCGAAGACCGGUCCUCCUCUAUCGGGGAUGGUCGUCCUCUUCGACCGAGCGCGCAGCUUUGGGAGGGACGCACAUGGAGCGGUGAGGGAGGAAGGGGACACCCGCCUAGCCAGCCAGAUCAGCCGAAUCAACCCUGGCGAUCAAUGGGGUGACAGAUGUCACAACCAGAUCGCCCUCACAUCCCCUUCAGCAGAUCUUAUUCAAAAUAUUUGCCAACUACUUUGAAGCCUGUUCACAAAGACAAAAACGAUCAUAUUCCCCAUCUACCAGAUCACCAUCACAUGAAAGAAUGCAACAACCUAAAGAAUAUGACAGUAAAGAAAUACCACGAACCAUCAGACAGAAGAGAAUAACUUGGAGGAGAGACCAAAAAUUAAACAAUGGCUUAAAUAAAGCAAUUACUUAAUUA